rnacentral:rRNA from 1 species
CAGUCGCCGCGGGAACACGUAGGGCGCAAGCGUUGUCCGGAAUUAUUGGGCGUAAAGAGCUCGUAGGCGGUCUGUCGCGUCUGGUGUGAAAUCCCGAGGCUCAACCUCGGGCUUGCAUCGGGUACGGGCAGACUAGAGUGCGGUAGGGGAGACUGGAAUUCCUGGUGUAGCGGUGGAAUGCGCAGAUAUCAGGAGGAACACCGAUGGCGAAGGCAGGUCUCUGGGCCGCAACUGACGCUGAGGAGCGAAAGCAUGGGGAGCGAACAGGAUUAGAUACCCCUGUAGUCCCUGUCUCUUAUAA